GCUUAUGAGUGGGAUUGAGUCUCCGUGUGCGCCGUGUGCGGAUAGCUUGCUAUGCGUGUGUGGCUGUGUGUGGAUUGAUUCGAGACUUAACUUGUUGCCGUUCGGGACGUUGACGAAAUGGAGCGAUUUGACCCGUCUUGAAACACGGACCAAGGAGUCUAACAUGUGUGCAAGUGUUAGGGUGUGGAAACCCCAGCGCGUAAUGAAAGUAAAGGAUAGCGUAAGUUAUCUGAGGUAGGAAAUUCUGCAGGUUCUGUCCUGUGGCGUGGCACUAUCGACCGAUCAUGAACCUUCGUGGUGAAAGAUUUGAGUUUGAGCACAUAUGUUGGUACCCGAAAGAUGGUGAACUAUGCCUGAGUAGGGUGAAGCCAGGGGAAACUCUGGUGGAAGCUCGUAGCGAUUCUGACGUGCAAAUCGAUCGUCAAACUUGGGUAUAGGGGCGAAAGACUAAUCGAACCAUCUAGUAGCUGGUUCCCUCCGAAAUUUCCCUCAGGAUAGCAGCAACUUAUUUACGAUAGUUUUAUGAGGUAAAGCGAAUGAUUAGAGGAUUCGGGGAAGAAACUUUCUCGACCUAUUCUCAAACUUUAAAUCUGUAAGACCUGCAGGUUUCUUAAUU
rnacentral:rRNA from 1 species